GUUUCAGUGGUCCAGUGGUUGAAGACAUUGGCACACCAUGCCAGGGACCCGGGUUCGAAUCCCGGCUGAAACG